ACCUCUGCGGCGUAGUGGUAGCACGCAUCUCCGGUAUGGAUGAAACGCGGGUUCGACUCUCGUCUGAGAUC